UGGACAAAAAAUUCCCAGAAAAUAAAUAAAUAAAUAAAAAUACAAUUAAGAACUCAUCGCAACCUUCCUGCAAUCUCGAUCAAUGUCUCCAAGUAGUUAAUUUUUAUGCAAAACUUGAGUUCACUUCUUGAUGAAGCUAUUUAUUACUUGUUUCACUUGACAUGAACACAAUUUCACCAGCCAUCAAUGUGCAAUGGCUUAUGGCUCCCUCUUGGUUGACUUCAGAACCAACUCUCUCCACCUCUUCUACUUCCACUAAUAACUUCAAAGGGUUCAUUCUUGCAGUUGCCUCCGGUGUCUUUAUUGGUUCCAGCUUUAUCAUCAAGAAGAUUGGCCUCCAACGGGCUGGUGCUUCUGGUCCUCGUGCCAGUACUGGUGGAUAUGGCUAUCUGCUAGAACCACUUUGGUGGGUUGGAAUGGUCACUAUGAUUGUUGGGGAAUUUGCGAAUUUAGUGGCUUACAUUUAUGCUCCCGCCGUGCUUGUAACACCACUCGGAGCAUUGAGCAUAAUUGUCAGUGCUAUUUUAGCACACUUCUUCUUGAAUGAGAAAUUGCAGAAAAUGGGUCUUCUUGGAUGCGUUUUGUGCAUAGAAGGGUCUGUAUUGAUUGUGCUUCAUGCCCCUAGCGAUCAGAGUCUGAGUUCAGUGGAGCAAGUCUGGGAGUUGGCAACCCAACCAGCUUUUCUCUUGUAUGUGGCUUCGACAAUAGCUGUCGCAUUGGUACUGAUCUUGUAUUGUGAACCACGCUAUGGACAGACAAACAUAUUGGUUUACCUUGGCAUAUGUUCUGUAAUUGGGUCAUUAACGGUUAUGAGUAUUAAAGCCAUAGGAAUUGCAAUAGAACUCACACUUGAGGGUUCAAACCAAUUGGGACGCUUCCAAACGUGGAUAUUUCUUAUGGUUUCAGUUACGUGUAUAAUUAUUCAGUUGAAUUAUUUGAACAAGGCUUUGGACACAUUCAACACAGCAAUUGUUUCUCCAAUCUACUAUGCUCUAUUCACAUCGUUUACAAUCCUUGCUAGUGCGAUAAUGUUCAAGGAUUGGUCUGGCGAGAGUGCUAGCAGCAUUGCUUCUGCACUCUGUGGAUUCAUUACUGUGCUUUCGGGUACUGUGGUUUUGCAUAGUCAAAGAGAACCUGAUCUACUUCCUGUUACAGAUAUAUAUUCAUCUUUAUCCCCUCAAGUAUCGUGGCUUAUCAAAGCAAAUGGCAAAACAUGGAAGCAGGAAGUUGAUGAUGACCUAUUUCCAGAUUUUGACACAAUUCUUAAACAUGAUCAUUUCAAAUAAGAUGAAUGAUCUCUUGACACACCCAUAGGUUUUUUUUUUCUUUUUCUUUUUAACCUACUAAAAAGUGUACCCACAAGUGGAGAAAGCCAGCAGAUGUUAUUGUAUUUUCUCAAGGUUGAAUUAUCGAAGGCAUUGCUAGAGACUGUUUGAUUCCUCGGACAGCUUGAAGUUCAGUGGAUCAAAGGCCAAUGUUGGUCCAUCUGUUUUGUGUACACAAAUGAUUGACAUCGGUCACCAAUUAAGAAAAUGUAAGAAUAGUUGUGUUUUUGGCUCCUCUGUUUUAUAAUCUAAGCUUCUUGCUACUGCUGGUGUAAUUCUUCUAGUUUGGGCAUCUUUAUGACAUGCUUUAU